UCCUAGUGGCGAACGGGUGGAGUAACGCGUAGGCAACCUGCCCUCCGGCCGGGGACAACACUCCGAAAGGGGUGCUAAUACCGGAUACGAAGUCUGUGCCGCAUGGUACGGAUUUGAAAGAUGGCCUCUAUUUAUAAGCUAUCGCCGGGGGAUGGGCCUGCGUCCGAUUAGCUGGUUGGUGGGGUAACGGCCUACCAAGGCGACGAUCGGUAGCCGGUCUGAGAGGAUGAACGGCCACAUUGGGACUGAGACACGGCCCAGACUCCUACGGGAGGCAGCAGUGGGGAAUCUUCCGCAAUGGGCGCAAGCCUGACGGAGCAACGCCGCCGUGAGUGAGGAAGUUCUUCGGAACGUAAAGCUCUGUUGUUCCUGACGAACCUCCCUUCUAUCAACAACGGAGGGGACUGACGGUAGGGAACGAGGAAGCCACGGCUAACUACGUGCCAGCCGCCGC
rnacentral:rRNA from 1 species